AACGUAGGAGACAAACGUUAUCCGGAGUUACUGGGCGUAAAGGGCGUGUAGGGGUUAGUUCAGUCUGGCGUGAAAGCUCUCGGCUAAACCGGGAGAGGUCGUUGGAUACUGGCAAACUUGAGGACGGUAGAGGCGUGUGGAAUUCCGGGUGUAGUGGUGAAAUGCGUAGAGAUCCGGAGGAACACCAGUGGCGAAGGCGACACGCUGGGCCGUACCUGACGCUAAAGCGCGACAGCAUGGGGAGCAAACGGG
rnacentral:rRNA from 1 species